rnacentral:rRNA from 1 species
GAUGAACGCUGGCGGCGUGCCUAAUACAUGCAAGUCGAACGAAGCACUUCGGUGCUUAGUGGCGAACGGGUGAGUAACACGUAGGUAACCUGCCCUCAAGACGAGGAUAACCGUUGGAAACGAUGGCUAAGACUGGAUAGGAACCGAGGAGGCAUCUUCUUGGUUUUAAAGGACCUGGCAACAGGUACGCUUGAGGAGGGGCCUGCGGCGCAUUAGUUAGUUGGCGGGGUGAAGGCCCACCAAGACGAUGAUGCGUAGCCGGACUGAGAGGUUGAACGGCCACAUUGGGACUGAGAGACGGCCCAAACUCCUACGGGAGGCAGCAGUAGGGAAUUUUCGGCAAUGGGGGCAACCCUGACCGAGCAACGCCGCGCGAACGACGAAGUACUUCGGUAUGUAAAGUUCUUUUAUCAGGGAAGAAUGGCUUACGGAAAAGUGAGCGUGACGGUACCUGAUGAAUAAGCCCCGGCUAACUAUGUGCCAGCAGCCGCGGUAAUACAUAGGGGGCAAGCGUUAUCCGGAAUUAUUGGGCGUAAAGGGUGCGUAGGUGGCCGUUUAAGUCUUUGGUGUAAGUGCAAGGCUCAACCUUGUGAUGCUAAAGAAACUGGAUGGCUUGAGUGUGGUAGAGGCAAGUGGAAUUCCAUGUGUAGCGGUAAAAUGCGUAAAUAUAUGGAGGAACACCGGUGGCGAAGGCGGCUUGCUGGGCCACAACUGACACUGAGGCACGAAAGCGUGGGGAGCAAACA